rnacentral:rRNA from 1 species
GACGAACGCUGGCGGCGGGCUUAACACAUGCAAGUCGAACGGAAAGGCCCUGCUUUUGUGGGGUGCUCGAGUGGCGAACGGGUGAGGAACACGUGAGUAACCUGCCCUUGACUUUGGGAUAACUUCAGGAAACUGGGGCUAAUACCGGAUAGGAGCUCCUGCUGCAUGGUGGGGGUGGGAAAGUUUCGGCGGUUGGGGAUGGACUCGCGGCUUAUCAGCUUGUUGGUGGGGGAGUGGCUUACCAAGGCUUUGACGGGUAGCCGGCCUGAGAGGGUGACCGGCCACAUUGGGACUGAGAUACGGCCCAGACUCCUACGGGAGGCAGCAGUGGGGAAUAUUGCACAAUGGGAGGAAGCCUGAUGCAGCAACGCCGCGUGCGGGAUGCCGGCCUUCGGGUUGUAAACCGCUUUAGCCUGUGACGAAGCGUGAGUGACGGUAAUGGGUAAAGAAGCACCGGCUAACUACGUG